rnacentral:rRNA from 1 species
UACGGGGGAAAGAUUUAUCGGGAAGGGAUCGGCCCGCGUUGGAUUAGGUAGUUGGUGGGGUAAUGGCCUACCAAGCCGACGAUCCAUAGCUGGUUUGAGAGGAUGAUCAGCCACACUGGGACUGAGACACGGCCCAGACUCCUACGGGAGGCAGCAGUGGGGAAUCUUAGACAAUGGGGGAAACCCUGAUCUAGCCAUGCCGCGUGAUCGAUGAAGGCCUUAGGGUUGUAAAGAUCUUUCAGAUGGGAAGAUAAUGACGGUACCAUCAGAAGAAGCCCCGGCUAACUCCGUGCCAGCAGCCGCGGUAAUACGGAGGGGGCUAGCGUUAUUCGGAAUUACUGGGCGUAAAGCGCACGUAGGCGGAUCAGAAAGUCAGAGGUGAAAUCCCGGGGCUCAACCCCGGAACGGCCUUUGAAACUCCUGGUCUUGAGGU